UAUUUUCUCUCCUACAGGGUGCCUGUGGAUCAUUAAGAUUAUGUUUUGGAUAAUACUCAUUGGUGCAUUCAUGCUCCCAGUGCACCCCUAUCAGAUCUCAUCAAAAGAGUCUGUAAUAGCUGCACCAGGAGAUGAUGCUAUUCUCCCCUGUACGUUCACUGCAGUUGACAGCCAGAAUAUUACCAACCUAAUCAUUAACUGGCAGCAUCAAGACAAGGUGGUCCACAGCUUCUACCUUGGUAAAGAUCAGCUAGAGAGGCAGGGACAGGCUUACAGGGAGCGGACUCCAAACCAUCACUGAUCUUCAGUAAAUUUUACUGUAACACUUUAUAAUACUGUUCCAUAGUUAAUAGGUAACUAAGCAGGAACUAAGUAGUAGCUAAGUAAUAGUGCUGCAUUAACACCUAAAUCUCUUCUAUUAACUAUCAGGGAGUACUGAGUAAUUACUUAAUAGAUAGUACAGAACUAAUGAUUAUAGUAGUUCACUAUUAACUCCACAUUAAUUACUGACUCUCCUGGAGAACCACUUACU
rnacentral:lncRNA from 1 species